AUCGGUAGUUUUGCAGACACUAAUCAACCAGCUUUAGCAUUCCGAAGGCUGGGGAUCUGGUAGGAGGGCCCAUUCCAGGGAAUGAACAGUUAACACUCAAGGUCCCCGCUUCUAGUCAGCUUUGCUUGGGAAUAAUCUUGGAGAUUGGGAAGUGUGUUUCUCUUCUGAAAACAACGAAGAGCUAAGUGUAUGCUGCUCUUGUUCUCUGAAGAUCCAAGUCCACCCUGUCCUGGAUAGACCAAGACAAUCGUAGCAGGGACAGAACCCUUCACUAAGCAGCUCCCUGGGACAUUUACUUGGGGUUUGUAAGAUCUUUAGCUGAUGUCACAGCAAGAGUGCUCAAGUGAACUGAAUAAAGCUUUGCAACACUGCC